CUCAGUUCGGAUCGGAGUCUGCAACUCGACUCCGUGAAGCUGGAUUCGCUAGUAAUCGCGCAUCAGCCAUGGCGCGGUGAAUACGUUCCCGGGCCUUGUACACACCGCCCGUCAAGCCAUGGGAGCCGGGGGUACCUGAAGUCCGUAACCGCGAGGAUCGGCCUAGGGUAAAACUGGUGACUGGGGCUAAGUCGUAACAAGGUACC
rnacentral:rRNA from 1 species